AACAAAAACGUAAACAAACAAAAUUGACGACUUUUCUUGGAAGGGAAAUGGUGGCAUUGAUGGAGUCGCCACGACUCUCCCGCCCAACCUGUGGUGUCUCCGCUGUGUCUUGGGGCACCACCCAUCUCCGGCGGACCGGAGUCUAAUCCAGGCGGCCUGACGGCCGGCCCAUCUCCCUAGGUACUUAUUGCUAACAUUGAUUGCCCAUGGGACUCAUUCCCGGCCAAACGUCACCCUAGCCUGGGAUGCGCUCGCGCCAAGACUGCGGCAGCGGAGAAGAAGCGGCAGUCCGCUAAAGAAAAUAGCCACAAACUGACUUGAGAGAUUCUUGAGAUUUCCUUCUUUCCUACCUACUAUCCCUGCUGGAGCUCCAAGAGAAAUAAAGGGGAUAGAACUCGUGUUGCACAAAUCCCUGACACAAGUUAGGAGACGCGGAGAACAAGCACAUUGAAACGAUACGACAACUAUAAGGCAAGAUUGGCGGCCCGCAAUGGCGAUGAGGCUUCACCAGUAUGCGUGGCCAGAAAUCGCAGUAGCUGCUGGCGGCGGCGAGCCCGAUGAAAGUGGGGAGUACAACGCAACGGCCACGUCGUUUUCGGUCAGCGGAGCGAAUAAAAGCCCCCAAUAUACGUAAGUUUUGCCGGUUCCGGACGGCACCUCAUGGAACGGACUCACCGGAUUCCAGUUUAAUCAGGUGGAUGGCUCAGGUAACGGCUGCUAAGAGGCUCGUUGGAA